rnacentral:rRNA from 1 species
UAUCCGGAAUCAUUGGGCGUAAAGCGCCUGUAGGUUGUUUAAUAAGUCUGUUGUUAAAGACUAGGGCUUAACCCUAGAAAAGCAAUGGAAACUACUAGACUAGAGUAUGGCAGGGGUAGAGGGAAUUUCUAGUGUAGCGGUGAAAUGCGUAGAUAUUAGAAAGAACACCGGUGGCGAAAGCGCUCUACUGGACCAUUACUGACACUCAGAGGCGAAAGCUAGGGUAGCAAAAGGGAUUAGAUACCCCUGUAGUCCUAGCCGUAAACGAUGGAUACUAGAUGUUGUGCAUAACGUACAGUAUCGUAGCUAACGCGUUAAGUAUCCCGCCUGGGGAGUACGCUCGCAAGGGUGAAACUCAAAGGAAUUGACGGGGGCCCGCACAAGCGGUGGAGCAUGUGGUUUAAUUCGAUGCAACGCGAAGAACCUUACCAGGGCUUGACAUACUACAAAUUCUUUUGAGAAAAAGAAGUGCCUUCGGGAAUGUAGAUACAGGUGGUGCAUGGCUGUCGUCAGCUCGUGUCGUGAGAUGUUGGGUUAAGUCCCGCAACGAGCGCAACCCUUAUUUUUAGUUACUAAUUCGUUAGGUUCUCUAGAAAGACUGCCGGUGACAAACCGGAGGAAGGUGAGGAUGACGUCAAGUCAGCAUGCCCCUUAUGUCCUGGGCUACACACGUGCUACAAUGGUUAAGACAAAGAGUCGCGAGCUCGCGAGAGUCAGCUAAUCUCAUAAACUUAGCCUAAGUUCAGAUUGUAGGCUGCAA